rnacentral:rRNA from 1 species
UGGGGAAUUUUGGACAAUGGGGGAAACCCUGAUCCAGCCAUCCCGCGUGUGCGAUGAAGGCCUUCGGGUUGUAAAGCACUUUUGGCAGGAAAGAAACGUCAUGGGUUAAUACCCCGUGAAACUGACGGUACCUGCAGAAUAAGCACCGGCUAACUACGUGCCAGCAGCCGCGGUAAUACGUAGGGUGCAAGCGUUAAUCGGAAUUACUGGGCGUAAAGCGUGCGCAGGCGGUUCGGAAAGAAAGAUGUGAAAUCCCAGAGCUCAACUUUGGAACUGCAUUUUUAACUACCGGGCUAGAGUGUGUCAGAGGGAGGUGGAAUUCCGCGUGUAGCAGUAAAUGCGUAGAUAUGCGGAGGAACACCGAUGGCGAAGGCAGCCUCCUGGGAUAACACUGACGCUCAUGCACGAAAGCGUGGGGAGCAAACAGG